rnacentral:rRNA from 1 species
GACGAACGCUGGCGGCGUGCUUAACACAUGCAAGUCGAACGGAAAGGCCCUGCUUUUGUGGGGUGCUCGAGUGGCGAACGGGUGAGUAACACGUGAGUAACCUGCCCUUGACUUUGGGAUAACUUCAGGAAACUGGGGCUAAUACCGGAUAGGAGCUCCUGCUGCAUGGUGGGGGUUGGAAAGUUUCGGCGGUUGGGGAUGGACUCGCGGCUUAGCAGCUUGUUGGUGGGGUAGUGGCUUACCAAGGCUUUGACGGGUAGCCGGCCUGAGAGGGUGACCGGCGACAUUGGGACUGAGAGACGGCCCAGACUCCUACGGGAGGCAGCAGUGGGGAAUAUUGCACAAUGGGCGGAAGCCUGAUGCAGCAACGCCGCGGGCGGGAUGACGGCCUUCGGGUUGUAAACCGCUUUCGCCUGUGACGAAGCGUGAGUGACGGUAAUGGGUAAAGAAGCACCGGCUAACUACGUG